AGUGCGGUAGCUUAUCAAUUCGUCUAUAAUUUGUAACUUAAUAGCUUUAUUUUUGAGCGGAGCUAUAUUAUUAGCCGUUUGUAUUUGAAUAGCCACAGCCGUUAACUUUGAAAAUAGUCAUUUUGAACUCGUAGUCCAACGGUUUUUAUUAUCUGGCAACCCCAAUGUUGCCAUAUGGUAUAAUCUAGUAUAUUUUCGCAUACCACCGUGAGAGAGAUGGGCGAAAUAUCGAUGCGCGAUGAGUAUCGAGUUGCCGAUUCUUAAUCAUCGACCACCUAUCGAUAUCGCGGUGCUACGAUGUCCCAUCGAUGGCUCGAUGGUUUUUCGAUGUUUUUCCACCGACCGACGAAAUUAUGCGUACGCUCCGCUUAUUUUUUAUUUAUUUUUUCGUAAUGCGAACCGAACGCUCGCCGCCCAUUAGAAUGCAAUGAAAAGUCGCACAAAGCCGGGAAAAGUGAAGUUAUUUACGCGAAUUGAAACAGUGCAGUGCGUGCGAGCGAGAGCGAUAAUUAAGAUGAAAUUGCAGGCGACGCCGAAAUAAAAAACAAAAAAAAAAGCGUUGCAGCAACAACCCGCUUCAAAAGCCAGAACUUUGAAAAGUCGAAGCUGAAUUUUCCCCGAUUUUUCCCGAUUUUCCGUUUCCCGCGAAUCUGAAAGCCGCGCUGCCGGCGUCGCUGCCUCUGCCGCCGUCGAAGUCGUCGAUCCCGUUUCACGCGUCGCCGCUUCGUCUCGCCGUCUCGCUUGUUUCCCGCCUCCUCUCUCUCUGCCCCUUGCCCGCCCCCACCACCCGACCAUCCUACCAAAUCAGCCCCCCCUC
rnacentral:sRNA from 1 species